CAAGAAGUAGUUUAACUCAGAAUGCUGGCUUUGGGAGCCAGUGGUGGGAGUUAAAAUCUUCCUUUCUUGA
rnacentral:tRNA from 1 species